AGAAUCAACGCUGGCGGCGUGCCUAACACAUGCAAGUCGAACGAGAAAGGGGAGCAAUCCCCGAGUAUAGUGGCGCACGGGUGAGUAACACGUGAAUAAUCUACCUCCGAGUGGGGAAUAACUGAGAGAAAUCUUAGCUAAUACCGCAUAACACUUACGAGUCAAAGCAGCAAUGCGCUUGGAGAGGAGUUCGCGGCCGAUUAGUUAGUUGGCGGGGUAAUGGCCCACCAAGACGAUGAUCGGUAUCCGGCCUGAGAGGGCGCACGGACACACUGGAACUGAAACACGGUCCAGACUCCUACGGGAGGCAGCAGUGGGGAAUUUUGCGCAAUGGGGGAAACCCUGACGCAGCAACGCCGCGUGGAGGAUGAAGUAUCUCGGUACGUAAACUCCUUUCGAUGGGGAAGAUAAUGACGGUACCCAUAGAAGAAGCCCCGGCUAACUUCGCGCCAGCAGCCGC
rnacentral:rRNA from 1 species